rnacentral:lncRNA from 1 species
GGGGAAUGGUCUAGGAGGCCCCUUUCAGCAGCUCAGAACAAGGUGGUGAGGACACGCCCUUACGGGCGGCUCUGGAGGAACGGCCUUGCUGCCCAGAGACCGCUGACGCCCCAUGUGGGCAGCCGAUUGGCUGCUGAGCCUCUGCCAAUCGUGUAGGUCACCUAGACUCUGCCGGGAAGCCUGACGCCCUCUGCGCCUAGCAACGUCCAACCAACCGCAGGAACCCACGAUGUUUCUAGGAGAUCUGCAAAGAGCCAACUCAUCCCCGCAAAGCGUCAGAUGAUCUCAUCUGGGGAGCUGGGGAGCGGGGGAGGUGGAGAAUGGGGGGCUGGGGAGCCGGGGGCUGGGGAGCCGGGGAGCUGGGGAGCCGGGGCUGGGGAGCCGGGGAGCCGGGGGCUGGGGAGCCUGGGAGCUCGGGAGCCUGGGAGCCGGGGGCUGGGGAGCUGGGGAGCCUGGGAGCCGGGGAGCCGGGGAUCUGGGGAGCCGGGGAGCCACCCACGCAGCAGAGCCUGGAGCAGGAAGGCCUCAGAGGAGGCACAGUCUGGGCUCCAAGGUCCCCAGGACCCACCUCGCCCACAGCCGGCCAAGACGGCCAGGUGAAGAGCGCCUGAGGCAGAGACACCUGGAGCCAGGUCGCGACUGGGAAGUUUCAGGACCAGCUCUAUGGAACUCCACUUCAGAUCAGGACCAGCAAUGGCCCACUGCUCUACCUAACGCCGAUCCCCCCACUCUGGGCCCCACCAUCCCCUGCCCCAUCUCCCAUCUCCAGGCCUUUGCACAGCAGCACACCGGGCUUGGACCGCUCUCCCUGCUCACCCCUACCUCCAAGGAUCCCUGGCUUCCUUCAAAGCCCAGCCCCCUAUGUGAAUUCCUGGCCCUAGAGGCCAUGUCCUUGUGUCCUCAGUGCCUGGGACACAAGGAUGGGGAACGGAUCUGUGAGUUCCCUGACAGAGCAUCACCCCUGGGCCCCACCCCCAACUCCCUGUACCAACGCCCUUGAGAGUUCUGUGGACCACUGAGAAGUUCAGGUGAAGGACUUGUCCAGGUCAUAUGGCCAGCCUCCGUCAGAGGUGGGAUGGAAACCCAGGCCCUCCCGGCCUUAAAGCUGGCUCUUAGGCCAUGCUGCCCCUCCAAGAAGGGCCUAACAAAUGCUCCACUCAUUUCUUCCCUCCCAUCAUGUGCUGACAGCUUCCCCCAAGCCUCCUGUUCCCCAUUUCCUUCAGGCAGCCUCAGCAUGGCAUAGCUGUCUGUCCCCUCCUCGUCAAGGUCAACCUGCUCUGGCCAGGCUCCUGCCUGCCAAGGCCUUUCCUGGCUGCAGUGCUGAGCAUGGAAUGCAGACUCUAGGUGAGGCCUUGUAAGGCCAAGAAAAGGCCCCCACAAAGUGCAGCGAUCCUGCAGAGAACAGAGAGAUGGCUGGGGAGAGGGGGGGUGCUUCCUUUACUGGGGGUGGAUGUGACCCCAUCUCCUUAUGUGCCUCUUCCUACAUGUGGCAGAGCAUGGCACCUUCCUGGGGACUCUGUGGAGGGGCUAAUCUCUUUUAAAUGGUUGCCUAGGUCUGGCCCAGGAAGCAAUCCACCCCGAGAGGAGCCCUGGUGUCCUGCUUUGACAACCCACAAAUCAGCCAACAGUUCCUGUACUUGGAUGGACCUUGACUCCCCAGUCGUCACCAAGGUAUUUGCCCACCUACUGAAAACAAGUUCAAGGAACCGGCCAGGAACCCACGGGAAGUCCUUGGCCAAUCAGGGCUAGCUGGGAGCUGUGCAGAGAUUUCCCCAGGCACCCGAUGAAGGCUUAGGAAGGUGACUAACCACUUUCUCUAGGGGCUGCCCUAAGCUGGGCACACCUGGGCUAUGAUGACCCACAGUGGAAGGCAGCUUGGGCUGGCCUGCCCCCCCCCCCAGGAGACUUCUGGGCCAGAAGUGGCCCACUCAACAGGACAGUUUGGGCCAGACAUGCCACACAGGUCACCUCCCCUCCCCCAAAUCAAUAAACUCCAGUGAUUUAAAAAUAAAAUCCUCUGG